rnacentral:rRNA from 1 species
GACGAACGCUGGCGGCGUGCUUAACACAUGCAAGUCGAACGAGACCUUCGGGUCUAGUGGCGCACGGGUGCGUAACACGUGGGAAUCUGCCCUUAGGUUCGGAAUAACAGUUGGAAACGACUGCUAAUACCGGAUAAUGACGUAAGUCCAAAGAUUUAUCGCCUAAGGAUGAGCCCCGCGUCGGAUUAGCUUGUUGGUGGGGUAAAGGCCUACCAAGGCGACGAUCCGUAGCUGGUCUGAGAGGAUGAUCAGCCACACUGGACUGAGACACGGCCCAGACUCCUACGGAGGCAGCAGUGGGAUAUGGACAAUGGGCGAAAGCCUGAUCAGCAAUGCCGCGUGUAGUGAAGAAGGCCUGCGGGUUGUAAAGCACUUUCAGU